rnacentral:rRNA from 1 species
AAUGAACGCUGGCGGCAUGCCUAACACAUGCAAGUCGAACGAAGGCUUCGGCCUUAGUGGCGCACGGGUGCGUAACGCGUGGGAAUCUGCCCCUCGGUUCGGAAUAACAGCGAGAAAUUGCUGCUAAUACCGGAUAAUGACGUAAGUCCAAAGAUUUAUCGCCGAGGGAUGAGCCCGCGUAGGAUUAGCUAGUUGGUGUGGUAAAGGCGCACCAAGGCGACGAUCCUUAGCUGGUCUGAGAGGAUGAUCAGCCACACUGGGACUGAGACACGGCCCAGACUCCUACGGGAGGCAGCAGUGGGGAAUAUUGGACAAUGGGCGAAAGCCUGAUCCAGCAAUGCCGCGUGAGUGAUGAAGGCCUUAGGGUUGUAAAGCUCUUUUACCCGGGAUGAUAAUGACAGUACCGGGAGAAUAAGCUCCGGCUAACUCCGUGCCAGCCGCCGCUGUAAU